rnacentral:rRNA from 1 species
AACGAACGCUGGCGGCAGGCCUAACACAUGCAAGUCGAACGCCCCGCAAGGGGAGUGGCAGCCGGGUGAGUAACACGUGGGAACCUUCCCUAUAGUACGGAAUAGCCCAGGGAAACUUGGAGUAAUACCGUAUACGCCCGAAAGGGGAAAGAAUUUCGCUAUAGGAUGGGCCCGCGUAGGACUAGCUAGUUGGUGAGGUAAUGGCUCACCAAGGCGACGAUCCUUAGCUGGUUUGAGAGAACGACCAGCCACACUGGGACUGAGACACGGCCCAGACUCCAACGGGAGGCAGCAGUGGGGAAUAUUGGACAAUGGGCGCAAGCCUGAUCCAGCCAUGCCGCGUGAGUGAUGAAGGCCUUAGGGUUGUAAAGCUCUUUUGGCGGGGACGAUAAUGACGGUACCCGCAGAAUAAGUCCCGGCUAACUUCGUG